GACAGAGGGGGCAAGCGUUGCUCGGAAUUACUGGGCGUAAAGGGCGCGUAGGCGGGAUGGCAAGUCGGUCGUGAAAUCCUUCGGCUCAACCGAAGAACGUCGAUCGAUACUGCUGUUCUUGAGGGUUGCAGAGGAGACUGGAAUUCCCGGUGUAGCGGUGAAAUGUGUAGAGAUCGGGAGGAACACCGGUGGCGAAGGCGGGUCUCUGGGCAACAACUGACGCUGAGGAGCGAAAGCGUGGGGAGCGAACAGG
rnacentral:rRNA from 1 species